rnacentral:rRNA from 1 species
GACGAACGCUGGCGGCGUGCUUAACACAUGCAAGUCGAACGGAAAGGCCCUGCUUUUGUGGGGUGCUCGAGUGGCGAACGGGUGAGUAACACGUGAGUAACCUGCCCUUGACUUUGGGAUAACUUCAGGAAACUGGGGCUAAUACCGGAUAGGAGCUCCUGCUGCAUGGUGGGGGUUGGAAAGUUUCGGCGGUUGGGGAUGGACUCGCGGCUUAUCAGCUUGUUGGUGGGGUAGUGGCUUACCAAGGCUUUGACGGGUAGCCGGCCUGAGAGGGUGACCGGCCACAUUGGGACUGAGAUACGGCCCAGACUCCUACGGGAGGCAGCAGUGGGGAGUAUUGCACAAUGGGCGGAAGCCUGAUGCAGCAACGCCGCGUGCGGGAAGACGGCCUUCGGGUUGUAAACCGCUUUCGCCUGUGACGAAGCGUGAGUGACGGUAAUGGGUAAAGAAGCACCGGCUAACUACGUG